AUUGAACGCUGGCGGCAUGCUUUACACAUGCAAGUCGAACGGUAACAGGCCUUCGGGUGCUGACGAGUGGCGAACGGGUGAGUAAUGCAUCGGAACGUACCCAGAGGUGGGGGAUAACGCAGCGAAAGCUGUGCUAAUACCGCAUGUGAUCUGAGGAUGAAAGCGGGGGACCGAGCAGCAAUGUUUGGCCUCGCGCCUUUGGAGCGGCCGAUGUCGGAUUAGCUAGUUGGUGGGGUAAAGGCCUACCAAGGCGACGAUCCGUAGCUGGUCUGAGAGGACGACCAGCCACACUGGGACUGAGACACGGCCCAGACUCCUACGGGAGGCAGCAGUGGGGAAUUUUGGACAAUGGGCGCAAGCCUGAUCCAGCAAUGCCGCGUGCGGGAAGAAGGCCUUCGGGUUGUAAACCGCUUUUGGCAGGAACGAAACGGUGUCCGCUAAUACCGGGCGCUAAUGACGGUACCUGCAGAAUAAGCACCGGCCAACUACGUG
rnacentral:rRNA from 1 species